AACUCUUCUCAGUAGUUGCUGUCUCCAAAUUUGGUUUAAGUUUUCAGUCUUUUCUUAAGACAGUGUGUGAGUGUAACAGGCAGUGCUGGGCAGUGACCCAGGGUGUUGACUGCUGGCCUGCCCACAACAAGCCUUUGGACUACCUGCCAGGCUAGGCCCAAAGACGAGGUGGGAAACUCCUUGAGUAGGGGACAUUCUUCCGCAGGCUGGGGAGACCUGUCUUAAUCUGCCACUUCCUUUAGCUUAAACAAGCAUGAAAGAUAAAAUGACAAGUCACUGAAAUUACUUGUUACUGUUUAAAAAAAAGAAUUUCUAAUUUUCUCAGAAGUGUUUAUUGUGUUCAAAAAUUAGAAGAGAAGGAAGGAAGAAGAGAGGGGGGAGAAGAAGGGAGGAAAGAAGAAAUCCUAGUCAGUCUCUUGACUCAACCGUCUCCUCUGUCCACUUCCAUACCGAAAUGCUUGCUUCAAUCUUCUGAAAUGUUCUGGUGGCUAUCAUCUACUGACCACCCCUGGAGCAUGGACACUCCCCGGACUGCUCGUUAGGAUCUCUGUGUGCAUUUUGUUUACAAUGGCCUGAAAAGAACUUGGGUCUAGAUGCUAAGACAAUAAGGAAUCUCAUUGGAUAAAGCAGAAAGCUUUGAAUCCAUUACAGAAGUACCUGCACUCUAUAAUUAUAUUUUAUAAGGAAGGUCAGUAUUCUAAAUUAGAUUCAUUAACUGUCAUAAAAUAUAUAACAUUUCUGGUAAUUUAAAACUGUU
rnacentral:lncRNA from 1 species